GAUGAAGAACGUAGCGAAAUGCGAUAAGUAAUGUGAAUUGCAGAAUUCAGUGAAUCAUCGAAUCUUUGAACACACAUUGCGCCCCCUGGUAUUCCGGGGGGCAUGCCUGUCCGAGCGUCAUUACAACCCUCAAGCUCAGCUUGGUAUUGGGCCCCGCCGACCCGGCGGGCCCUAAAGUCAGUGGCGGUGCCGUCCGGCUCCGAGCGUAGUAAUUCUUCUCGCUCUGGAGGUCCGGUCGUGUGCUCGCCAGCAACCCCCAAUUUUUUUCAGGUUGACCUCGGAUCAGGUAGGGAUACCCGCUGAACUUAAGCAUAUCAAUAAGCGGAGGA
rnacentral:misc_RNA from 1 species